GUUGACUUGACUGCGUGACUUUAUUUUCCCCCAAAAUGUGGGCCCGUGUGACAACGUGAUGGAUUCCAGUGGAGGCUUUAAGAGGCGUUGCAAGUUCCUCCUACCACCUUGCACUCCUGCCCUGGGCCCUGGGAUGAGAGACACGUGGACCAGGCCUGACUCUGGCCACAGCCCGCACUAGAGCUUGUGGCAGCAGUUCCCCCUGCCACUGGCACACAACAUCGUUUUGAAAAGGAGCCGUAGUGUGCCAAAGCAGGAAGCGCGUGCCCCGGAUUCAGGCACGCCGUGGGGCCAGGUGUCCUCGGGAAACUGGUUCUCUGAGCCUCACUUUCUUCAUCUGCAAGGUGGGCUCUGGCCUCAGUCUCCACCUCUGUAAAAUGGGCUGGCUGAACUGGAAGAUCCCGGAGGGUCCUUUCCUCUCUGCCAUUCUGUUGUAGCUGGAAAAGGAAAACGGGGUAGUGCCAACAUCCCACCAGCAGUCCUGGGGCUUUGCACCCUGGCAGAUUGGGACCAGAGGCUUCACUGCCACAUGGCACUGUCUGGGUGUCUCUUGACUCUUCCCAGACCCCCUCUCAGGCUCACUGGGGGCCUGGAAGAGCUCACUGUCACAGUCCGC
rnacentral:lncRNA from 10 species